rfam:Chaetura pelagica isolate M959 contig25244, whole genome shotgun sequence.
CCAAAGGCUUUUUUUAAAGCCAAUCAUGAAUUAAGAAGGCAUUUA